ensembl:rRNA predicted gene, 26171
GUCUACAGCCAGAAUAUCUUGAACACACCCUAUCUUGUCUGUUUUUGGAAGCUAAUCAUGGUUGGUCCUGGCUAGCAGUUAAAUGGGAGAGGUAUCAGAAAUGUAUGAAAAGCAUUAAGAUGUUGGAAAUA